rnacentral:rRNA from 1 species
AGAGUUUGAUCCUGGCUCAGGGUGAACGCUUGCAGUAGACUUAACACAUGCUAGUACAAAGUUUUAAUAAUUUUGCGUACAGGUGAGUAUUUUAUCUAAAAAAUUGCCUUAUCUUUUUUAUUAAUCAGCUUUAAUAUUUUAUUAAAUAAUUUGAUAACUAAAUAAUAAAUUAAACGUUGAGAUAAGAUAUUUUUAGUAUGGUAUUAGGUAGUUGGUAGUGGGUCUACGUGCCGUAAAAAGGCCUACCAAGCCUUUGAUCCCUAACUGGUUUGAGAGAACGUACCAGUCACAUUGGGACUGAGAUAAGGCCCAAGCUUUUGCCAGCAGUGGGGGAUAUUGGACAAUAAGCUUAUGCUUGAUCCAGUUAUAUUGCUUAAAUGAGGAAAAUGCAAAAGAUAUCUGUAUCACUACAUCUAUCGUUUUUAAAGUUUUAGAUUAAAAAAAUAACUAUGAUGUUUUUUUAAAAAAAGCCCCGGCUAACUUCGUGCCAGCAGCCGCGGUAAUACGAGGGGGGUUAGCGUUAUCCGGAAUAAUUGGGCGUAAAGGGUUCGUAGACGGGUUUUGUUGUUUUUAGAAAAUUUUUUAGA